AUGGCACAUGAUGUGGAAGGCCUUGCUAGCAUUCUACAGAGUUUUGGGGUGGUCUCUGGCCUCGUGACAAAUGUGACCAAGAGCUCCAUCGCCCCCAUCCAAUGCGCCAACAUUAACUUGGAGGAGAUUCUGGCGAACUUCCCGGCGACUACGACCCCCUUCCCCAUUAAGUAUCUGGGGUUGCCCCUCUCCCUCGGAAGACUUAGGCGUGUGGACCUUCAACCCUACAUCGACAAAGCGGUGGCUCGUCUUAGCCCGUGGAAAGGAAAGUUCCUGAAUCGUGUCGGGUGCACUGCUUUGGUUAAGUCCGUGCUCUCCUCCAUGCCAAUCUUCUUGCUGACGUCUUUAAAGGCUGACAAAGGCAUCCUCAAGGCCUUUGCGAAGAUCAGUCGUGGCAUGCUCUGGGCCUGUAAGGAGGCGGUUAGUGGAGGGAAAUGCAAAGUCAACUCGCAAAAGGUCUGCCGC
rnacentral:rRNA from 1 species